AUACGUAGGUGGCAAGCGUUGUCCGGAAUUAUUGGGCGUAAAGCGCAUGUAGGCGGUAAUUUAAGUCUGUCGUGAAACUGCGGGGCUCAGCCCCGUAUGGCGAUGGAAACUGAGUUACUUGAGUGCAGGAGAGGAAAGGGGAACUCCCAGUGUAGCGGUGAAAUGCGUAGAUAUUGGGAAGAACACCGGUGGCGAAGGCGCCUUUCUGGACUGUGUCUGACGCUGAGAUGCGAAAGCCAGGGUAGCGAACGGGAUUAGAUACCCCGGUAGUCCUGGCCGUAAACGAUGGGUACUAGGUGUGGGAGGUAUCGACCCCUUCCGUGCCGGAGUUAACGCAAUAAGUACCCCGCCUGGGGAGUACGGCCGCAAGGCUUAAACUCAAAUGAAUUGACGGGG
rnacentral:rRNA from 1 species